UUACCAGGGCUUAAAUGUAGUCUGACAGGUCUGGAAACAGACUUUUCUUCGGACAGAUUACAAGGUGCUGCAUGGUUGUCGUCAGCUCGUGCCGUGAGGUGUCAGGUUAAGUCCUAUAACGAGCGCAACCCCUGUGGUUAGUUGCCAGCGAGUAAUGUCGGGAACUCUAGCCAGACUGCCGGUGCAAACCGCGAGGAAGGUGGGGAUGACGUCAAAUCAUCACGGCCCUUACGUCCUGGGCCACACACGUGCUACAAUGGUAGGGACAGAGAGCAGCCACUUCGCGAGAAGGAGCGAAUCUACAAACCCUAUCACAGUUCGGAUCGCAGUCUGCAACUCGACUGCGUGAAGCUGGAAUCGCUAGUAAUCGCAUAUCAGCCAUGAUGCGGUGAAUACGUUCCCGGGCCUUGUACACACCGCCCGUCAAGCCAUGGAAGCCGGGGGUACCUGAAGUCGGUCACCGCAAGGAGCCGCCUAGGGUAAAACUGGUAACUGGGGCUAAGUCGUAACAAGGUAACCGUA
rnacentral:rRNA from 1 species